GACGUAGGGCGCGAGCGUUGUCCGGAUUUAUUGGGUGUAAAGAGCGUGUAGGCGGCCAGGUAGGUCUGCUGUGAAAACUCGAGGCUCAACCUCGAGACGUCGGCGGAAACCAUCUGGCUAGAGUCCGGAAGAGGAGAGUGGAAUUCCUGGUGUAGCGGUGAAAUGCGCAGAUAUCAGGAAGAACACCCGUGGCGAAGGCGGCUCUCUGGGACGGUACUGACGCUGAGACGCGAAAGCGUGGGGAGCGAACAGG
rnacentral:rRNA from 1 species